rnacentral:lncRNA from 1 species
UUCUGGUCGGUAUAGCAUUAGUCCGGGGAACAAAUGAUUUUACACUUGCUCAAAUACCAAAAAUUCAGAUAUUUCUACGUCUUUUUCGGUUUUAGUUGACAAAUUCGGGAUAGAAUUGACAAUCUUAUGAAUGUUUACAUUAAUGUAAUUUUUUUUUCGGAUAAAAUCGUUUUUCAAAAAUACUAUAACAAACUUUGAUAACGUGUCCUGUAAAGUUUACC